GAUGAACGCUGGCGGCGUGCCUAAUACAUGCAAGUCGAGCGAACGGACGAGAAUCUUGCUUCUCUGAUUUUAGCGGCGGACGGGUGAGUAACACGUGGAUAACCUACCUAUAAGACUGGGAUAACUUCGGGAAACCGGGUCUAAUACCGGAUAAUAUUUUGAACCACAUUGUUCAAAAGUGAAAGACGUUCUUGCUGUCAAUUAUAGAUUGAUCAGCGCUGCAUUAGCUAGUUGGUAAGUUAACUGCUUACCAAGGCAACGGUGCAUAGCCUACCUGAGAGGGUGAGCGGACGCACAGGAACUGAGAGACGGUCGAGACUCAUACGGGAGGCAGCAGGAGGGAAUCUUCAGCGAUGGGCGAAAGCCUGACGGAGCAACGCAGCGUGAGUGAUGAAGGUCUGCGGAUCGUAAAACUCUGUUAUUAGGGAAGAACAUAUGUGUAAGUAACUGUGCACAUCUUGACGGUACCUAAUCAGAAAGCCACGGCUAACUACGUG
rnacentral:rRNA from 1 species